rnacentral:rRNA from 1 species
AGUGAACGCUGGCGGUAGGCCUAACACAUGCAAGUCGAACGGCAGCACAGUAAGAGCUUGCUCUUACGGGUGGCGAGUGGCGGACGGGUGAGGAAUACAUCGGAAUCUACUUUUUCGUGGGGGAUAACGUAGGGAAACUUACGCUAAUACCGCAUACGACCUACGGGAGAAAGCAGGGGAUCUUCGGACCUUGCGCGAUUGAAUGAGCCGAUGUCGGAUUAGCUAGUUGGCGGGGUAAAGGCACACCAAGGCGACGAUCCGUAGCUGGUCUGAGAGGAUGAUCAGCCGCACUGGAACUGAGACACGGUCCAGACUCCUACGGGAGGCAGCAGUGGGGAAUAUUGGACAAUGGGCGCAAGCCUGAUCCAGCCAUACCGCGUGGGUGAAGAAGGCCUUCGGGUUGUAAAGCCCUUUUAUUGGGAAAGAAAAGCAGCAGGUUAAUACCCCGCUGUUCUGACGGUACCCAAAGAAUAAGCACCGGCUAACUUCGUG